rnacentral:antisense_RNA from 1 species
UGGAGGUAGGCUCUCUAGGAAUCUGGGAGUAGUAGCUGGGGGGCAAGAGCAAAUAAAGAGCUCGGGCUUCUGUGGUCUCUGGGGAGAUGUUCCCGGGAAGCCUGGCUAGAGGGCGGAGGGCAGCUGUUGAGAUGGCGUGGCUUUCGCGGCGGGCGCUGCGGCCCGGGCCACAUCUGCCAGAGCCUGGAGUCUGCGAAGGCCGGGACCCGGUUCCCCGGCCCACCGUGGGGGGGGGUGUGCAAACCCGAGAGAACUGGAUUGCGUACCCACUGCAGAGUGCUGAAGACGG